rnacentral:rRNA from 1 species
UACGUAGGGUGCAAGCGUUAAUCGGAAUUACUGGGCGUAAAGCGUGCGCAGGCGGUUAUGCAAGACCGAGGUGAAAUCCCCGGGCUCAACCUGGGAACUGCCUUUGUGACUGCAUAGCUAGAGUACGGUAGAGGGGGAUGGAAUUCCGCGUGUAGCAGUGAAAUGCGUAGAUAUGCGGAGGAACACCGAUGGCGAAGGCAAUCCCCUGGACCUGUACUGACGCUCAUGCACGAAAGCGUGGGGAGCAAACAGG